CGCUUUGCCAGCGGGCGGGCCUUCCGGGAGGGGUGGGAAGUGGCUCGUGUCUCUGGCAGGAGGCGGGUGUGUGUGCGGGUGUAGACCCGAAUCCUGCGGGCGGGCGGAGGGGCCGCAGGCCUGAGGCGAGGUCCCCCGAGGCUGCGGCUGCUCGGCCGGGAGGCGGCCAUUCGUUCCUCCGGUGGGGCGGCGCAGCGAGGGCCCCUGCGGGGGCUCUUCCGAAGCCCGUGCCCUCACCUGAAGGAGGGCCGUCCUGCGCUUGCCCGGCUUCCCCGGCGCGCUGCCGGUCAUCCCCCUUCCACCGUGCGGCUCAGGUCACCGCUGCCAUGGCUUUGCCCCAUCGGCCGGAUGCCCCGGAGCUGCCUGACUUCUCGAUGCUCAAGAAGCUGGCCCGAGACCAGCUCCUCUAUCUGCUGGAGCAGCGUCCAGGAAAAAAGGACUUGUUCAUUGAGGCAGAUCUCAUGAGCCCUUUGGAUCGAAUCGCCAAUGUCUCCAUCCUAAAGCAACACGAAGUAGACAAGCUGUACAAAGUGGAGCACAAGCCAGCCCUCAGCUCCAGUGAACAGCGAGUGUCUGGAAGACUCUGUCUCGGCUCCAAGCUGGAGGAGGUCCCUGCACACGUGCCUUUGAUCAGUCCUUAGCCGAGAUCUGGCACCUUGAUGUUUGUGAUAGGGUUCACCUCCCUUCUUUUUUACAGUUUCACCCCAGGUUAUGCUUUAGCCUCUUAAUUGGUCUCCCUUUCUGCCGUUUCUCCCUCCCUUGUCCUCUUCUCUCUCUAUGGCCAAUCUGCCAUCUCUAACCAGACUGAUUAUUCUUUCAAAACUAUUUUCACUGUGCUCUCCUCAAGAACCUUCAAGGCUUCCUUUACUUACCCAGAGAGGUCCAUGUUGCUUGUCGUAGAUUCCAAGGCUGCCUCUAGGGAGGCCUCUCAGCCCCUUUCCAGCCUGGUGACUUGCACAUCGCCCCUACUUGGCUCAAAACUUUUCACAUGUUUCCCAGCUCUGCACACGUACCUCUGUGCUUUUGGCCACUCCACCCGCUCUGCCUGAAAUUCUCUCCUCUCCUCACUGUUGUGAAAAAUACCCAUCUUUCAGGGCACAGCCCCACCCCCUCCACGCAGCUGUCAGUUGCCAUUCCAGGGUGAUUUUCUCCUCUGGGUUUGCAUGGGGUUCAGUGUUUGUCCCAUUCACCUGGCACAUGGUCACAUCCUGCCUGUUGUCUGGUGUUUGCUUUUAUUGUUAAUAUUUCUCAACCUAAGUAAUGUACACCCUCCCUUAGAGGAAAAAGCUCUCCUGGAUACGUGGGACUACAUCGCUGAACCCCAGCUGGAAGAACAUUAUUUUAUAUACCUUCUUGUAUUGUUUUUUAACACUUGAUUGUUGACAUACUCCAUAGGUACGUGCAUCUUAUUUGAGAGCAGGAACUCCUGGGUCUACCAUAAGGCCAGGAAGUGCCCCCAGCUCACCAGGAUAUACCUGCUUUGUCUAGGGGAGUCUUCUGUGGUUGGUAUGUGGUGAGCCAGGAGAUCUGCCAGGGCUUUGGCUGGGGUGAGAACUGUAGCACAUGGUGGAAGAGUUGGCAUUGUUUAAGUUUCUUCUAAGCUGCUGUCACCAACUUCAUGAGUUUUCUUCACUGAGGUGUGUUGGUUUUGUUUUCCCCCCUUCUCUCCCACAGAUUGUGCUUCUUGGUCAGACCUUGCAUCAAGAAUAUGCGGUAGACAACGAGGGGGGAGUCAAGGAAGGGAGGGAAUACGGGGAUAUGUGUAUAAAAACAGAUGAUUGAACUUGGUGUACCCCCCCAAAAAAUAAUAAAUAAAUAAAAUUUAAAAAAAUAAAAGAAAAAAAAAGCAACAACAAAAAAGUUACACCCUAAAAAAAAAAAAAAAAAAAAAAAAGAAUAUGCGGUACAUUGCCAGUGAGUGUGCCAUGGUGUUCAUUGUAACUAAGACUUGGGAAAGGGGGGAAGGUCUGAGGGCCUUGGCCAUAGGAACUCUGUCCCCUUGUAAAGUCUCUCUGCUUCCUUGCUUCUGGUCUAACAAAGGCCCAUGGCUUUCUGGGUUGCAUCCCUUCUGUCUGUAGAUCUUGUCAACGCUGACAAAAUGGCUGGCCGAACUCGGAAAUACAAAGUGAUCUUCAGCCCUCAGAAGAGACGUUCUGGGAGCUUGGUAACUGGACACAUUGUUCUGCCACCUGUGGCCACUUGGGAGCCCGAGUUCAGAGACCUCAGUGCCUGAUGGCCAAUGGGCAGGAAGUGAGUGAGGGCUUCUGUGAUCACCUCCAGAAGCCACUGGCUGGGUUUCAGCCCUGUAACAUCCAGGACUGCCCCUCGAGCUCUACUCUCUGAAGCUGUUACCAAAAUUCAAGGGCAGUGAGGCCACACAACACCAAGACAUCAGCGUUUGGAGCAGAGAAUGGUUAAUUACAGGGCCAUGCAAGGAGAUGGGUGGCUCAUGCCUGAAAACCCCCCCAAAACGUGAAAGCUUUCAGCAAAGCCCUCUUAUGGGAAAGGGGGUGCACGGGCGCGUUCACCGAGUGCUCUGUGUCCUGUGGUGAAGGACUCUGCAGUCGCCACGUGACAGGUCAGCGCACAGGAGCCAAUGGAAUGUGCAGGUGAUGCCUCCGAGAGCUUGUGACCCAAAGCCAGGCCUCUGGGAAGAAGACCCUGUUCCAGUCACGUGUGUGUUCAAGGGCUCGCUGAACCAGGGAACCAGUGUCCUGGUCGUUGCCUGGGUCGCGCUGUGAGGAUGCAGCAGCAGCAUAUCGUUUGUCAACACCCCAACAGUUCUGAGUCUGGCUGUGAUGACAAAAGGAGACCCGCCUUUAGGAGGAACUGCUCGUCGGGGGUUUGUGACGCAUGUUGGCGCGCAGGCCCUUGGAGACCCUGUAUGGCAACCUGUGGCCACGGCGUCCAGGCUCGGAAGGUCGACUGUGUCCACGCCAGCAGCUGCAAGCCGGUGGCUGAGAGACUCUGUGUGCCGAGCGAGAGACCCACCUCCUGGCGGCACUGCCUUGGGCCUUCCUGUGAUAGUACGUACCCCUCUCAGGUACCACGACCGCCCCAAAGCCUUGUCCAAACCAGACCUCGUGCAGCCAGCCUUGUCCGGGUCUCGUCUGCAGGGCCAUUCUGAACAGAUGUGGUAUCUUGGGACAUUAGGAGAUUAGCUGCUUUGAUGUGGGUGCAACUCAGUGUUCUUUAGAGAAAAAAACAGUAGAGUGGGUAGGGUGGUCAGUGGCCUUCUAGCAAGCACUGGUAGCCUCUCCCCAGACUCCCUUCUGCUUGGAGUUUCAGCGCCUCAGACAGGGCUUCCGCAGAUGGGAUUGGGCAGGUUUGCAAAUGUCCUGAGGUUAUAUAUGAAAUAUAAUCAUAUAUUUUUCUAGGGAGCCAGACCAUAGCUUUGAUGAGGUUCCCUGGGGUCCAUGACACCCCAAAAGCUAAUGCUGCUGUCAGCACUGGGAGGAGCAGGUGGCUCCAGGGCUGUGAAGUCCCCAGAGGGCAGUGAGAGGCCACUUGUCCCAGCUAAGGAGUGAAUCUAGGGCACUUCUGACUCCAGUGCAAAGCAGUGGCCCUAACCCAAGCCUAGUUUUUUUGCUUCAGUCUGUGAUCUCAAUUUCUGCUUUUCAUAGAAUCAAGUGCUUUUUUAAAAACUAGGUCUCUGAUGAGCUAUGUGUUAAAUGGAUAUAUAUAUAUAUAUAUAUAUAUAUAUAUAUAUAUAUAUUGCAGGAGAGUGCACAGACACAACCCACUACUGUACGUUUGUAAAGCAUCUUAAUUUGUGUUCGCUAGACCUCUACAAACAAAGGUGCUGUCAGUCGUGUCAACAAGGAUAAAACUUUGGGAGGGGGAGUCGUAAUGCUGCUGUGAAGAUAAAAUAAGUAUGUAAAAGCUCGUUUCCACAUGUAGCUGGUACAAGAACAUGUAUUUCUUUUUUCUUUUUUUUUUUUUUUGGCACAUGGGCUUAGUUGCUCAGCGGCAUGUGGGAUCUUCCUGGAGCUGGGAUCGAACCCGUGACCUCUGCAUUGUCAGGUGGAUUCCCAACCACUGCGCCACCUAGGAAGCCCAAGAACAUGUAUUUCUUAAAAAAACAAAAACAAAGAAAAGAAAAACAAAAAAACAACUCUAGAUUCUGCAAUCAAACAGAAGUCAGUGCAGAAUCACCACUGUUAAAAUUUGGCAUUGUCCUUUCCCCAUGGCCAGUUUUUAAUUCCAGCUCUUUUAAAUGGUAUAUUCCAGGACUAACAUAAAAUACCAUAGCAGGCAGGCCAUUGCACUUGGGACCUCGUCGUGUUCUUCUAAUCAGGAAUUCACCAAGAUCACCUGUGCAUUGUCACGAGCUGCCUCUCCCAGUGAUUUGUAGUCUAGUCCAGAGUAGCACAUCCUGAAGCACUUGGGAAGCACAGCAACAGAUGACUUCUCUCAGCUUUAGGGUUGUAACAGGUUUAUAAGACAUUUACAUUGUAGAAGCUCUGGUCAGUAGUUGUUAAGAUGCUGGCUCUAAUGGCAUGUUAUAGAUCCUUACGUUCAGUCUGUGAAAAGGAGACAGUCACUCUGGACAGGCUCGUAACCCUGACUGAUCCACGGGUCCUGGGGGGAUGGUAUCUUGUCCUUGCCCUUAGAGAACCUAUGGGAGAAAACAGAGUAAACGUUGCUGCCAUUGUCAUAACUAUGGAAAUCGAUCUGAGACCAAAUGAGGCAUCUUGGAAAUCAAAGGAGAGGGAAGGUUAACCUUUUCUACUGAUUUUGAAGUACGUUCAAAGCGUGCUUUUAAGAGCUGUGAAUGAGAUUUUCUAAGCACUAUUCUCUUGCACACAAACAGAGAAAUCAAAGCCUUAUUAGACCUAAUUUAUGCAUAAAAUAGUAUUCCUAAGGAUUUUUAUUUUGGAAAAAUUAGAAGAAAGUAAUCUAACUAUGAAACAUGAUAGCUGAAAGGAGUUGUUUAUACUAAAUAAUUGUUUUCAUUUGAACUGAUUUUUCAGUAAAUCCAAAGCGCGUUAGGGUUGGGCUGGAAGGUACAGUUGGGCUGAGGGGUUAGAGUUAGGAUUUGGUGAGCAAGUUUAGGGUUCUUUUUAUUUUGGGGGUUGGGUUAGGUGAGGCGAAUGGAAGGUAAGUUAGGGUUAAGGCUAGAGUUGGCUCUGUGCAUUAGGGUUAGGUCAGAGUUGGCUUGGGUUUGGAUCGGCCAGUGCUGGUGUUAGUGAUGGUGUCAAGGUGGAGGUUAAGUUUGGAGUAGAUGUUGCUGCUGAAGGAGUUUGGGACCAGUAUUCAACUGUAAAUUCUAAAGCUGAUGUGGUGAGGGGGCUCUUUCCUUAACAUCCUACCAGUUAUGGCUGUAGAUGGCACGCAACCCCAAAUAAAGGGUCGUACUUGUUUACUCGGGGCCCCCGCUGCCUGUACGCAUGCUGCCUGUAGCCUGUUGGCAGCAGAGUUACCCGAAGCAGGUGUGCUGACCCUCGUCCCUGGUCACUCACACGUGGACAGUGGGUUCUGGCUUUGGAUCUGCCUGUGGACCAGCUCGCUGAGUCUCUCUGCCAUAUCCUGAGCCCCAGGCCCCCUGUUCUAACUGCAGGCUCACCGACCCUGGGAUGAGCGACGCAGCGUGCGGAGGGCUUGGUGGUGGGAAUGGGGGCGGGGACGUGGCGGGGACGUGGUGGGGACGCCCCAGCCCGUGAGUUGUUCAUCAUCCAUCCCACUUGGUGGUUCAGGCUUUUUAAGUUAAAAGAGAGAUCAUUUGUACACUACUCUUUGUAUAUAUUUAUUAUAUGACGUAAAGGUGCAAUAUUUUAUUUUGUACAGUAUGUAAUAAAGACAGGGGACAUAUAUUUUUCUUAUUAACAAAAUCUCUUAUUAAAUUGCUUCAGCUUUGUAUUCAAAGUUGCUAUUUUUCAUUUGCUAUUGUACUUUUUGUCUUGUUAUCAUUCAAAUGACAUUCCUGCAUACUGGAUUUU